UACGUAGGGGGCAAGCGUUGUCCGGAUUUAUUGGGCGUAAAGAGCUCGUAGGUGGUUUGGUAAGUCGGAUGUGAAAUCUCCAGGCUCAACCUGGAGGGGUCAUUCGAUACUGCCAUGACUAGAGGUCGGUAGGGGAGUGUGGAAUUCCUGGUGGAGCGGUGAAAUGCGCAGAUAUCUGGAGGAACACCGGUGGCGAAGGCGGCAUCCUGGACCAAUAUUGACGCUGAGGAGCGAAAGCCAGGGGAGCAAACGGG
rnacentral:rRNA from 1 species